rnacentral:tRNA from 1 species
UCCCUAGUGGCUUAGACGGUAAAGUGUCUGCCUGCAAUGCGGGAGACCCAGGUUCGAUCCCUGGGUCGGGAA